UUUAAAUUCAUUGGGUGAAAGAAGCCGUCGUCAUAUGUCCAACGGUGGACGAACGGGCUUCGAUGAAAAUGGGUAAACUGUUCCUUGGAAAUAGGAAGGAGCGCAAAAAUCGCAAAAGUCCCUUAAAGCCAGAAAAAGCGCAAAAAUCUUGGCGCGCAGCGGAUAUUUCUGGCGGUUGAAUAUUACGUUCAUUAGGCUUUUCUUCGCUAUCUGCUUUCUCAUUUUUUGUUUGCGUAUUGUCUGGUCAAUUGUGUAUUGGCAACAAAUGGUGAGAAUGAUAAGGGCGUGCAUACAAUCUUUGUUGAAGUUUGUGAAUUCUGGAAAUGGGUUGGUUGGAAUCGCCAUGAUUUUGUAUGGAAUUUGGUUGAUGAGGGCUUGGCAGAGGCAUUUGGGCCAUUUUCCCUUUGAAAGACCCGAUGACCCAAUUCCAUGGUUCAUGUACAGUUUUUUUGGCGUGGGCAUUCUUCUAUGUGUGAUCACAUGCGUGGGUCAUAUUGCUGCUGAAACUGCUCGUGGUUGUUGCCUUCAUAUCUAUGUGAUGCUUGUCUUUGUGGUUCUCAUGGUGGAGGCUGGGUUGGCUACUGAUGUAUUUCUGAAUCGUGAUUGGGAGGAGGACUUUCCAAUGGAUCCGAGUGGAAGUUUUGAUCAGUUCAAGCAGUUCAUCAGAUUGAACUUCGAUAUCUGCCAAUGGAUAGGGAUCUCAAUGAUGUCUAUUCAGGGUUUGUCUCUGUUGUUGGCUAUGUUACUAAAAGCAAUUGGAUCGCGUCGAUAUUAUGACAGCGAUGACGAUUAUGCACCUGAGAGGCUUCCGCUUCUUAAGAAUGCUCUUCAUUCACCAAGUACAUGUGUUAUUGGAGACCCCGUCUUUCCAUCCAAAAACGACGCGUGGAACAAACGAACUGACGAUGAGUAAGCCUGCAACAGAAGCAGCCUAUUACCUUGCAUUGAAUACUCUCAUUGCAUACUAGGAAAGAAGUUGAUCGAAAGCGCGAAUUUGACACGGAUUUCAUUCUCUAUUGUUUACAAAAAAUACUCGUGAUGGGUUCAGAUGUGACAACAUUAUAUGUAAAUCAUGUUAAUAGAGAUUGUGGUUCAUGUACUCUUCUGAAAGCAGUUUCCUAAAUCCUAAUGGUAUCUGUUCCUAAAAAAAAUCAUUUA